rnacentral:misc_RNA from 1 species
UUUCCGUAGGUGAACCUGCGGAAGGAUCAUUCAUAAUAAGUGCUUUAUGGCACUUUUUUAAAUCCAUAUCCACCUUGUGUGCAAUGUCAGGGUUGAUUUUUCUCUCGAGAGGAUCAACCCCAAGCAUCAACUAUAUCUCAACUCUUUGUCUGAAAAAUAUUAUGAAUAAAACAAUUCAAAAUACAACUUUCAACAACGGAUCUCUUGGCUCUC